AAAAUUAGCCUUUCCCGAUCCCUCUCCAGUGGCCAACGGAUUGAGACAGUCGCUGAUGCCCAGCGCGCACCGAUGAUUUCAUCGGGGGCCUUGGCGAAGUCUGGUACAGUCGACCCUGGGAGGCACAACGGUGCAACGCCCCAGAAGGUGGAGAAGCUUUGGUCCCGAGCGACGGUGAGGAACCGGUCUCGCGGACAAGGUACGUUAGGGACUCUUAGCCACUCCCUUUGGAUGCCCCUGUCCAUUCCCUGCAGUCUGGUGACUUCAUCCUUGUCCGUACCUGGAAAGACGAACCCCUCCAGGAAAAGUGGAAAGGACCCUAUCUCGUCUUACUGGUUUCCCACACGGCGGCUAAAGUAGAGAGACACAAGAGCUGAAUUCACUACUCCCAACUAAAAGCUGUACCUCCACCGCAGAAUCCUGACCCUGAGCAGUGGACUGUUCAGCGUGCCGGAACCGGAACAUCG